CCCUUAGACGUUCUGGGCCGCACGCGCGCUACACUGACCAGUGCAACAAGCAUCCGUCCUUGGCCGACAGGCUCGGGCAAUCUUUGAACGCUGGUCGUGAUGGGGAUAGACUUUUGCAAUUUGUGGUCUUCAACGAGGAAUUCCUAGUAAACGCAAGUCAUCAACUUGCAUUGAUUACGUCCCUGCCCUUUGUACACACCGCCCGUCGCACCUACCGAUUGAAUGGUCCGGUGAAGCCUCCGGAUUGGCGCGCACCUCGGUGCCGCCGAGAAGUUGGCUAAACCUUACCAUUUAGAGGAAGGUGAAGUCGUAACA
rnacentral:rRNA from 1 species